UCGCAUCGCGACACGUGGCCCUCUCACUUACCUCUCCGACACGCGAUCAUCUCUUUGGUGGCCGAAACCCUAACGAUCGAACGUUAGAGGGUUGUUGUUUAGGUGGCGGAGGGGAACUGCGCCUGGACGCGGAUGAUGCCGUGCUGCCCGCCGAUCGCGGCCGUUCCAAUGGGGCCCGGAGCAACGAAUGCUUUGAGAUGAGGUAUGAAAUACAAUUUUUAUGCUUCGACGAUGGUGUAGAACUGCUAACAAUUAGAAUCUAUACUCCAGCAUGAUGAGAUUGCAUAGAUCGCCUCUUGUGGACCCUUACUGUCAGGAGCCUCAUGCAGGUCAUGCCGUUUCCUAAUGUUUUAAUAUUUUCAUUGUUAGAAAAUUGAUCUCUAUGUUCUUCAGAUCUUUGAAGCAAAAAUUUUGUGCUUCCAAAGUUUUUAUUGAUCAAAAUCACUACAAUAGAACAGGUUGCUUCACCCCAAGUCAUUAAGCUAUGAUGCAAACACUAAUCAUUUGCUCUUAGACCCUGUUCUAGUAAUUGCUGCAUGAUAUGGCAUUGGUUUUUGAAACUUAAUUGAAACACAUGACAAAGGCCUGAUACUGAUGUUGUUUAUAGUUUAUUUUUUGUAUAAUAAGACAUGCUUGAAACUUUUCAAAGUUCUUUGAAACUUAUAAUCAUGUUAUGAUGUUUUGGUUGGUCUUCUACAGUGACUAAUUCUGUCCAUUAUUAUGUGCAACGAUUUUUUUUUUUGUUUGGAACAAAUGAAAAGAAAAAGUUCUUUUUUUCUUAUGAAAGCAUGUGACUAGAAGAAGCCUAAAGGAGCCUUAAUUUGUUCACAAUCUUAAAACUUGUAAACUAUCUUGUAAUUUCAGGAAGCAUUUCUUCAGCGUUGGACUUGCCAUGACCACAAUCUCACAAACAACCUGCACUAUUUAGGGCACAUGGUUCGAGAAAUCAUACACAAAUAUUGUCCUCAUUUUCCAAUUAGGCUUCCAAGCAUCAUCAUCUUCUUUGUCCACAUAUUCUUGUAGUGAUAUUAAGGUGCUUGACACCUCUAAGAUGGUGCCAAAUUAAGAAAUCCAAUGCUGAAUCCCAACAUGUCUGAUGACAGUGGUUGGUAGCCACUGCACUGGCUUUUGCUGAAGUAGUUACUUCUCCCACAGCAAGGGACAUUGAUCUUCUGUGUGCGAACAAGCACCUUUGAGUUGUGGAGAACACAAAUGGAUUGAAGAACGCUAUUUGGUUUAUGUAAGUGUCAAAACCUAUUGGCUCUCCUAGAAGGUGGAUGAGUCUAGCCUUAGAAACGCUAGACUCUUUUUCUAAUGUUUAGCACCUGGUGAGAAAAUGGGUUAUCGGGGACAAUAAAUGGGAUGAAUGAGACUUUAUAUUAAUUCACAACUUUAAAUGGGCUAUUUUCGCUUGGGUUUAUGGGUUAAAAGUACGUUGAUUGGGUAUUCUAAUUCUUUGUAACUCAUUUCCACAUAUUAAACCUCCAAAUGCAGUUUAGCUGCCUCAACCAAAUCGUACCUUGGUACAACUGGAUACGGACCUGAAAGAGAUCAACUGAUUUGAACAGCUUCAGCUCAGUUAUGCCUUUCCUAUUAUUUUAAUUUGUAAACUUCUCUAAAAAUGUUGUUUAGUUCAGUUUGUUUUCAUAUUCUGGGAAUAAAAUAAGUUUUCUUUGAUUUGGAAUUUUGCCUUUAAAUCAAACCAAAUCCAGCUGCAUGCACCCAUAGUAAGGUUUCCUCUGUAGGUAUAUUAACUUUUGGGCUUAAAGCCUGUUUGCUCCAUGAUUAAAAGGAUCAGCCCAUAGUACUCAGUUCUCAUCUAAUAGGCAGGAUUGUUUCUUAGGGCAUCGUUGUCAAUGUUUGCUGCAUCAUAAUCAUGCUAUAUUUAUUUGUUUCCUUCAGGGUUGAAGAUGGAUCAGAUAUGGAUUGAUUGGAGAAAACUUAUUCAUAUCCACUUUUUAUUACUGUAUUCAAACUGAGUUAUGGGUCUUUCAUGGGUUCUAACUUAUGCAGCUAUAUGUAAAACGGAAGAUAAAAAGAGAAAAAGUAAAUGUGCCGAGAUAGAACGAUUGAGCAACUAAUUUCAUUUCUAUAUAUUAUUAUAUGUAAACUUGACUUUCAGAUGUAAUGCAUUGGAUAUCCAGAUAAAGAAAGCAAGUGCACCAUAUCUGUGUUAAGAACGUUCCAGAUGGCAAAAUUCUGAUACAAAUAUAGAUAUCUAACCCUAUCUAGAUAUUGAAAUAGACCAAAAGCCUCUGACUUCUUUUGCCCAUAGUAUUGUUUCAUUUAAUUCUAUUUGCUGCAAUGUGAGAGCAUGUGGUGGUUAUGUUACAAUCGCUUGCUUAGAUACUUGGGCCUCACCAAACAUUCACUUCGGGGGCUAUCUCUAAUACUAUCGUCAAACUCAACAUGACAUGGUCUGCCUUUCAUACUCAGCUCUAUAUAUUUCUCCAUAAAAAGAAGAAAACAAGAAAAAAUUAUCUUACUUUGAAAUUUUAGAAUUAUUUCCUUAUAGCUGAACAAUUAAUUUUGCUUCCUUGAUAGUGGGAGUUGUCUUCAAGUUUGGACUCAAAACUGGUAUAAGAGAAGGAAGGAAUACUUUCUUAGGCAUAAUAUUGUUUUCCUAUUCUCUUCUCAUUGCAAGAAACUAAAAUUCCAAUGUGGUGGAUAAACAGUGUGGUCACAGAUGGAUCAUUAGAAUCAGGAGGCCUUUGAUUUUGGCUCAACAAGAAGCUCUGCAAACUUAAAUGCCAGUUGGAUGAUAUACAUUUAAUUAUAGACCUCAAGUGGAGGACAAAAAAUUAUGGAGAAAUGUUGUGCAGAGGAUUUUUGAUGAUUGGCUAUUAAUGUAUAGAAUGAAUGAAGGAUGGUUUGGUUAAGAGGGGUAAGGCAUGAGAUCUCAUGUGCUGCUUCUAUGGAAUGAAUGCUAUUGUGAAUCAUUUGCUUACAAGAUGCAGCCAAUCAAUUAUACAAGUUUCUUGAAAGAUUUUAUGUUCAGUUGAAUCCUGCAUCAGUCAUCAAAUGGUUCAAAGUUGCAUUAGAAGAGAAUUAAGGAGGUAAUGGAUGCUUGAUAAGGUUACUGCUACUUAAGUUGGAUUACAUAUAUGAAGUUGCAGAAAGUCCACUCAUCAGGUGUCUGUUUCUCAGGUAAAUGAUUAAAUCAUAUUAUUCAUCUUGGAUAGAUGCUGCUGCAGAUAAGAAUGAAAAACUUUUGGCAAAAGAUUAGUUGUUCUGUAGUUGGAUUCUCUUCUGGUGGCUAAUGAAGGCGACUGAUCCUGCUUUGGUUCUUGCUGCUGGUUCUGCCUCUGGAAGCUUGUUUUUUGAUGGGUUUUCUUUUCUGAUACCUGGCUGUACCUGAAUUGACUUUUAUUUUGUCUUUGUUUUAUUGAUUUUUUUUAAUUAUUUAUUGAUCUUGCUCAUCUAAUGAGAACCUUUUGUAUCCCUUCUACAGUGGGAAAGUGAAGACAAGUGAGUGCUCCACUCUUCACAUCAGAAAAGGUUCAGCAUCUUCAGCUGCAGCUUGCUGAAUCAACCAUAUGUAUUGUCUGGACCAUCAAAUCUUCCGAAGGGCCCAUUGAUUCUGCACCUCCAAGCUACUGUGACAGGCUGCACUCUUUGUGGUCACUACCUCAGAAUUCAGAAUUGUGGGAACAACAGGAAGAAGCAUACCAGGUGCAAAUGCAGACAUAUGCUAGUGAAGCAAGACCAGAAGAAAGUGGAAGACAUAGUGCUCAAUUAUUUCACCAUAGAGGAGACAGUGCACAUGUUCUUCCCCUUCUGGUGACUCAAUUCUUUUCUUCACAGAAAGAGAGCCAACAGCUGCUAGAAAGAUCAUGAGCUUUCCGACCGCAUUAGGAGUUUGCAAUGAUGGAUGCAUCUCUGCCUGGUGUUCCAGGAUUUCUACAUGAAUGUCAGGAGUCAUUAGCAGUUAGUUGAAUCAAAAGACCCAUAUAUGUUUGUGCCUCAUAUUCAAGCACAAAGACUUACACAGGUGUAUGUGACUUCAUUUCAUAACAAGGUUCACCUUCUGUGUAUGCUUUUACGACUUGGGCGAUUGAUUUAAUUAAAAGGAAGAGAAUUUAUUGUGAAUGCUUA